UGACACAGCACUCCUAUCUGCUCAACCACUUGCUUGGCUUCCUCUGCUCCGGCGACCGGGCGGCCCGCCGGCCGGCGGCGAGAGGUAGCGCCAGUUCAUUUCUGGGCCCCAACAUUCAAAUGGGGUAUCAGUAUUGCCAAUGUUGCUGACUUUGCCAAACCUCCUGAAAUGAUAUCCUACCCUCAGCAAGUUGUUGUGGCUUGCAGUGGAGUAAUUUGGGCACGGUGGGGCAUGGUCAUCACACCUAUAAACUGGAACCUCUCCAGCGUGAAUGCUGCAAUGGCCGUGACAGGCGUGUGCCAGCUUUCCCGUAAGAUAAGGCACGAUUACUUCUCUGAUGAGAAGAGUGCUACUGCGUCGCUGGAAGGAUGAUAGGAAGAAGAAAUUGUUGUCAUGGAAUGGAACACUAAUUUCAUUAUCAGUCGACCAGCACAGUGUUCACUGUGAAUGUGUCCGCUUCCAUGAUAACAAAUUAACAAUCCCAUGUGUGUGUAUGAUCAUUAUGAAUUGGGCUAUUGGUAUGAAAUGUUUUUAUACCCUUUGGUAUACAGAUAGUAAGCGAGUCUGAACUUAACUGAAACGGACUUGGUUUGAGUUCAGCUCGAAGUACACUCGAAUUAAACUUA
rnacentral:lncRNA from 1 species